GACGAACGCUGGCGGCGUGCUUAACACAUGCAAGUCGAACGGAAAGGCCCCGCUUUUGUGGGGUGCUCGAGUGGCGAACGGGUGAGUAACACGUGAGUAACCUGCCCUUGACUUUGGGAUAACUUCAGGAAACUGGGGCUAAUACCGGAUAGGAGCUCCUGCUGCAUGGUGGGGGUUGGAAAGUUUCGGCGGUUGGGGAUGGACUCGCGGCUUAUCAGCUUGUUGGUGGGGUAGUGGCUUACCAAGGCUUUGACGGGUAGCCGGCCUGGGAGGGUGUCCGGCCACCUUGGGACUGAGAGACGGCCCAGACUCCUACGGGAGGCAGCAGUGGGGAAUAUUGCACAAUGGGCGGAAGCCUGAUGCAGCAACGCCGCGUGCGGGAUGACGGCCUUCGGGUUGUAAACCGCUUUCGCCUGUGACGAAGCGUGAGUGACGGUAAUGGGUAAAGAAGCACCGGCUAACUACGUG
rnacentral:rRNA from 1 species